CCUACGGGAGGCAGCAGUAGGGAAUAUUGCGCAAUGGGGGAAACCCUGAAGCAGCAACGCCGCGUGGAGGAUGAAGGUUUUAGGAUUGUAAACUCCUUUUGUUAGAGAAGAUUAUGACGGUAUCUCACGAAUAAGCACCGGCUAACUCCGUGCCAGCAGCCGCGGUAAUACGGAGGGUGCAAGCGGUACUCGGAAUCACUGGGCGUAAAGAGUGCGUAGGCGGGGUAAUAAGUCAGAUGUGAAAUCCUGAAGCUUAACUACAGAACUGCAUUUGAAACUGUUACUCUUGAGUGUGGGAGAGGUAGAUGGAAUUCUUGGUGUAGGGGUAAAAUCCGUAGAGAUCAAGAGGAAUACUCAUUGCGAAGGCGACCUGCUGGAACAUUACUGACGCUGAUGCACGAAAGCGUGGGGAGCAAACAGGAUUAGAUACCCCAGUAGUC
rnacentral:rRNA from 1 species